CAAUUGGUGGUUCAGUGGUAGAAUGCUUGCCUUUCAUGCAGGAGACCUGGGUUUGAUUCCUGCCCAAUGU
rnacentral:tRNA from 1 species